AAGAAAACUGGUGAGUAGAAUGUUCUGGAAAGUUCAACCAUAGAGCAUGAUAGUUGCGUAUACGAAGCCGGUCGAAGCCUAGUGGUAUCCUGAGUAGCGCGGAGCACGAGGAAUUCUGCGUGAAUCAGCCGGGACCAUCCGGUAAGGCUAAAUACUCCCGAGAGACCGAUAGCGAACCAGUACUGUGAAGGAAAGGUGAAAAGCACUUCGAACAGAAGAGUGAAAUAGUUCCUGAAACCAUGCGCCUACAAGCGGUCGGAGCUCUAACGAGUGACGGCGUGCCUUUUGCAUAAUGAACCUACGAGUUGCCUUUGCCGGCAAGGUUAAGUGUGACGACACACGUAUCCGAAGCGAAAGCGAGUCUGAAGAGGGCGUAUAGUCGGCAGUGGCAGACGCGAAACCAAGUGAUCUACCCUUGAGCAGGUUGAAGUCCGGGUAACACCGGAUGGAGGACCGAACCAAUCAGCGUUGAAAGGCUUCUGGAUGACUGGAGGGUAGGGGUGGAAGGCUAAUCAAACUUGGAGGUAGCUCGUACUCCC
rnacentral:rRNA from 1 species